rnacentral:rRNA from 1 species
GGAAUAUUGGGCAAUGGCCGAGAGGCUGACCCAGCCAUGCCGCGUGCAGGAAGAAGGCCUUCUGGGUUGUAAACUGCUUUUACCAGGGAAGAAAACGCUCCUGCGGGAGUAACUGACCGUAACUGGUGAAUCAGCACCGGCUAACUCCGUGCCAGCAGCCGCGGUACGACGGAGGGUGCAAGCGUUGUCCGGAUUUAUUGGGUUUAAAGGGCGCGUAGGCGGCCCGUUAAGUCAGCGGUGAAAUCCCACGGCUCAACCGUGGAACUGCCGUUGAUACUGGCGGGCUUGAGUUCGGUCGAGGCGGGCGGAACUGGUGGUGUAGCGGUGAAAUGCAUAGAUACCACCAAGAACCCCGAUUGCGUAGGCAGCUCGCUGGGCCGAAACUGACGCUGAGGCACGAAAGCGUGGGGAGCGAAC